UCCCUGGUGGUCUAGUGGUUAGGAUUUGGUGCUCUCGCUGCCACGGUCCAGGUUCGAUUCCUGGUCAGGGAA